CUCAGCUUUGCUGUGGUGCUGUGGGGUGGCCAGUUGUGGGGACAGCAGGACAAGCAGGAUGAUGCCCUCAGCUGGGAUCUUCCUCUUGAAGGAGGAGCAGCCCCUUCAAAACUGAGCUGUGCCCUGCUGCCAAGCCAGCCCUGCACCACUGUCCCUGCCAGGUAAGUGCCAGAGAUCUGCUCUGCAGCUGAGGGGAGAGGGAGGAUCACCCUGUGGGUCAUUAGGUGCCAAAAUGUGUGGGACAACC
rnacentral:lncRNA from 1 species